UCCAUAGCUCAGUGGGUAGAGCAUGAGACUCUUAAUCUCAGGGUUCGAGCCCCACACUGGGCAAAA
rnacentral:tRNA from 1 species